rnacentral:lncRNA from 1 species
UCUGUGAAAUCUCUUUCCUUUCUCUCUUUAUUACUUACUUCUGUUAGUCAGUCCUUUUAAACGUGCUAACUUGGUUUCAAAACACAGCUGCAAGAGUGGGUGAGUAAAAAAUAUUUUGACUUCUCCUUAAAUUAAAUAGAACACAGCUGUUUUAAAUCUUAGCAAUAGGGCACUAAGGUCCUGGCUAGGAGAUCUGUUUCUAAAUAUCUUUUCCUUUAGGGAACAGCUGCCUAUAUUAGGAUUAAGGGAAAUCUGGAGAAAGCUUUGGCCUAGUCCUGCAGUUCACAACUUACUUAACAACUGGCUCAUCAGCUCCAUGACCAAACUUGUAAAAUUCGUAUUCGUUGCCUCUCUGAAUUUGCUCAUACCAUGGAGUUUAUGGCAAAGUAUAAUCGACAUGCUACUCCCCCUUGGGAUUUUGAUCAUUAGAGCUGUAAUAUUGUAUUUCCUUACAAAACCCACUUCUCAGUUAAACCAACCGAUUCUUCCUUCUAUUAUUCAACAAAAUGCUGAACUAAAUAUUCGGCUUGAGCUUAUAGAGGAAAGUCAGGGGGAGAUCAUAGCUUUUAUGAGAAGCAUUAAAAGACAGUUAAGAACAUUAUCAGAAUCUCUGUCUCACCCUGCUCUAGACACUAACUCUCCUAACCAACCCAGUACUCCCCCUGCCAACUCAGCCUCAGAACCCCCUACUCCUAACCAAUCCACCCCUUCCCCUUCCCCCUCGGCCUCAGAAAACCCUACUUCUAACCAACCCACUCCUCCCCCUGCCUAUGCCCCCUGCCCAACCUGCUCAGCCCCAGUUUCACACCCUACCCAUGCUGACCACCCUACCUCCUGCACCCUAAAUUCACACUCCACCCAUACUGACUAUCCUAAUGCCUCCCCCCUAAGUUCACACCCUACUCAUUCCUCCAAUCCUAACACCUCUGUAUCCUUUCCCCCAGAUAAUGACUCUUCUUCCUUUGCCCCUCUUUCCCACCCUGCCCAAUUCAAUUCCCAUAUCCUUCCUACCUCUGAUCCUUCCUGCACUAUGGGACAACAACAAUCCCUCUCCCUCAAUGUGCCCAACCCUUCUCUUUCUCAUAUCUACCCUAUUGAGAAUGGAUUAAGAAGCCUA